ACAAUGGGCGCAAGCCUGAUCCAGCCAUUCCGCGUGCAGGAUGAAGGCCUUCGGGUUGUAAACUAGCUUUUGUACGGAACGAAACGGUGAGCUCUAAUACAGUUUGCUAAUGACGGUACCGUAAGAAUAAGCACCGGCUAACUACGUGCCAGCAGCCGCGGUAAUACGUAGGGUGCAAGCGUUAAUCGGAAUUACUGGGCGUAAAGCGUGCGCAGGCGGUUUUGUAAGACAGAGGUGAAAUCCCCGGGGCUCAACCUGGGAACUGCCUUUGUGACUGCAAGGCUGGAGUACGGCAGAGGGGGAUGGAAUUCCGCGUGUAGCAGUGAAAUGCGUAGAUAUGCGGAGGACACCGAUGGCGAAGGCAAUCCCCCUGGGCCUGUACUGACGCUCAUGCACGAAAGCGUGGGGAGCAAACAGGAUUAGAUACCCUGGUAGUCCACGCCCUAAACGAUGUCAACUGGUUGUUGGGUCUUCGACUGACUCAGUAACG
rnacentral:rRNA from 1 species